UUAUUUUGUAAAUUUUAAUAAUGGGUAGUAAGAGUUAUGUUCUUGAAACUCAAAAGUUUUGGCGGUAUUUUAUUCUAUUCAGAGGAAUUUGUCCUGUAAUCGAUAGUCCACGUUGGACCUUUCUUUAAUUUGUUUAGUUUAUAUAUCGUCGUUAUAAGAAUUUUUUAUAAAAAUAUUAAAUUUUCUUAAAUUAUUAAAUUAAUUUAUAUCAGAUAAAGGUGUAGUUUAUGUUAAAGUGAGAGAUGGAUUACAAUAAAUUUAUUUAUACGAAUAUGAUUUGAAAUUAUUUAUUGAAGGUGGAUUUGAUAGUAAAAUUAUAGAGAUUAAUAAUUUGAUAUUAGUUCUAAAAUGUGUAC
rnacentral:rRNA from 1 species